rnacentral:rRNA from 1 species
UACGGAGGGUGCAAGCGUUGUUCGGAUUUAUUGGGCGUAAAGGGCGUGCAGGCGGUCUUGCAAGUCCGAUGUGAAAGCCCCGGGCUCAACCCGGGAAGUGCAUCGGAAACCGCGAGACUUGAGUACGGGAGAGGGCAGUGGAAUUCCUGGAGUAGGGGUGAAAUCCGUAGAUAUCAGGAAGAACACCGGUGGCGAAGGCGGCUGCCUGGACCGAUACUGACGCUGAGACGCGAAAGCGUGGGGAGCAAACAGG